rnacentral:misc_RNA from 1 species
GUGUAUUAUCAAAGAAGAUUCAACAUUCAAAUGACAUUCCAUGGAGCAGAUGGUUAAAACAUAGGUUUGGAACAAAAGGCCAGACCUACAGAGGGUGCACAUGGUUUGUAAAAGGUGGCCAAAAGAAUAUCCGAGGAGUGCACCUGCCUCAUCCCAAAAGACAAGGCCAGCAACAUCCUCAAAGUUUAUUCAUUAAUGAUCCUUCCGCAGGUUCACCUACGGAAA